UACGAGUGGAGCAAGCGUUGUUCGGAAUCACUGGGCGUAAAGGGUGCGCAGGCGGGCAUGAAAGUCAGAAGUGAAAGCCCAGGGCUUAACCUUGGAACUGCUUUUGAAACUUCAUGUCUAGAGUCCGGUAGAGGUUGGCGGAAUUCCCAGUGUAGAGGUGAAAUUCGUAGAUAUUGGGAGGAACAUCAGUGGCGUAAGCGGCCAACUGGACCGGUACUGACGCUCAUGCACGAAAGCGUGGGGAGCAAACAGG
rnacentral:rRNA from 1 species